UUGAACGCUGGCGGCAUGCCUUACACAUGCAAGUCGAACGGUAACGCGGGGCAACCUGGCGACGAGUGGCGAACGGGUGAGUAAUACAUCGGAACGUGCCCAGUAGUGGGGGAUAGCCCGGCGAAAGCCGGAUUAAUACCGCAUACGACCUAAGGGUGAAAGCAGGGGACCGCAAGGCCUUGCGCUAUUGGAGCGGCCGAUGUCAGAUUAGCUAGUUGGUGGGGUAAAAGCCUACCAAGGCGACGAUCUGUAGCUGGUCUGAGAGGACGACCAGCCACACUGGGACUGAGACACGGCCCAGACUCCUACGGGAGGCAGCAGUGGGGAAUUUUGGACAAUGGGCGCAAGCCUGAUCCAGCAAUGCCGCGUGCAGGAAGAAGGCCUUCGGGUUGUAAACUGCUUUUGUACGGAGCGAAAAGGCUCUCUCUAAUACAGGGGGCUCAUGACGGUACCGUAAGAAUAAGCACCGGCUAACUACGU
rnacentral:rRNA from 1 species